rnacentral:lncRNA from 1 species
UGACCUUUUGAGGUACAGCCACAGAUCAGCAGAGGUACUAAGAACAUACAUGUGGAAAAGACAAUUUCUUCGAUAGAUGAUAUUGAGAAAGCUGGAUGUCCACAUGCAGAAGGAUGAAAUUGGACCUUUAUCUCACAUCAUAGAUAAAAAUCAACUCAGAAUGGAUUAAAGACUUAAACAUAAGGUCUGAAGCUGUAAAACUAGUAGAAGGAAAUAGGAGAAAGCUUCAUAACAUUGGCCUGGGCAAUGAUUUUUAAAAUAUGACUCAAAAACCACAAGUGACCAAAGUAAAAAUAGACGAAUGGGUUGCAUCAAACUAAGCUUUUGUCCAGCAAAGGGAAAAAUUAACAGAGUAAAGAGACAACCUACAGAAUGAGAGGAAAUAUUGUAUUUGCAAACCAUACAUCUGAUAAGGAAUAUCUAAAAUACAUGAGGACCUAAAACAACUCAAUAUUUUAAAAGACUCUGUUAAAAAAUGGGCAAAAGCUAUUCAGGAAUAGACAUUUCUCAAAGGAAGACAUACAAAUGGCCAGCAGGUAAAUGAAAAGAUGUUCAAUAUCACUAAUCAUCAAGGAACUGCAAAUCAAAACCACAAUGAGGUAUCACCGCCCACCUGUCAGAAUGGCUUUUAUUAAGACAAAAGAAAACAAGUGUUGGUGAGGAUGUGGGGAAAAGGGAACCCUGGCACACUGCUAAUGGAAAUGUAAAUUAGUACAGCCAUUAUAGAAAACAGUAUGAAGUUUUCUCAAAAAAAUUAAAAAGAGGACUACCAUGUGAUCCCGCCAUCUCUCUACUGGGUGUAUAACCAAAAGAAUUGAAAUCAGUCUGCCUGGCUGGGUGCGGUGGCUCACGCCUGUAAUCCAAGAACUUUGGGAGGCCGACGCGGAUCACCUAAGGUCAGGAGUUGGAGACCAGCCUGAGUCCAUUGCUAAAAGAAAAAAAAGAAAGAAAAAAAUCAGUAUGCCUAUUCAUUGCAGAAUUCUUCACAAUAGCCAAGAUACAGAAUCAACCUAACUGUCCAACAAUAGAUGAAUAGAAAAAGAAAAUGUGGUAAAUAUGCACACUGAAAUAUUAUUUUCACCUUUAAAAAAAAAAGGAAAUCCUGUAAUUUACGACAACAUGGAUGAACCUGGAAGACAUCAACCUAAGUAAAACAAGCCAGGAACAGAAAGACACAUACUGUGUGAUCUCACUUAUAUGUGGAAUCUAAAAUGUGUCAAACUCAUAGACCAGGUGCGGUGGCUCACUCCUGUAAUCCGAGCACUCUGGGAGGCUGAGGCAGGUGGAU